CAGUAGCCGCGGUAAUCCGUAGGUGGCAAGCGUUGUCCGGAAUUAUUGGGCGUAAAGGGCUCGCAGGCGGUUUCUUAAGUCUGACGUGAAAGCCCCCGGCUCAACCGGGGAGGGUCAUUGGAAACUGGGAAACUUGAGUGCAGAAGAGGAGAGUGGAAUUCCACGUGUAGCGGUGAAAUGCGUAGAGAUGUGGAGGAACACCAGUGGCGAAGGCGACUCUCUGGUCUGUAACUGACGCUGAGGAGCGAAAGCGUGGGGAGCGAACAGGAUUAGAUACCCCCGUAGUCCCUGUCUCUUAUAC
rnacentral:rRNA from 1 species